CAGUGGUGUGAGUGAUCUUUUAACCUAUAGUGCGUCGGCUAUUCACAAUGAGGCUACUGUAAUAUGACUGCACGUUCAUUUGGUUCCUAGCCAUUCAGAUCCUUACUAUGUAUGUUGGCUUUUGUGGGUUCAGAUUUACUAUUAGGAGUAGGAUGCACUUGGAUAAAAUCUAUCAAUCUUAGUAGAAAAAGAGAAGUCCUAUGCGAUUCAUGAGAUUGAGUUUA
rnacentral:lncRNA from 1 species